rnacentral:misc_RNA from 1 species
AGAACAUAUGAAUCCUCAAUGUAGCUUCUGAAAUCAGAAGAAGAUUCGAUCUUCACAACCUGAAAUGAUUUCCAAUCAGCGGUUCAGUAUAUAUAGCCAUUUUGGUAAACAAUCCCAUUAUAUAUUUUCAAAUAGAUCGGUCACUUUUCAAUUCAUCAUUCAUGUAAAUAUGUGAUCUGGAUAACCCUUGUCAACCAUUAUGCCUUCACUUUGAGUGAGACCAUUUUGUGACCGAUCAGCCAUCCAGUUUAGCCUUCCAAUCAUUGCUCCAUUUUGUAAGUGGAAAUUUGCAACCGAAUCUAGAGCUUUUCCUCUCUUUUUCUCUUCCACAAGGUACCUGGCACACAAGCGCA